GGUCAAGUGAAGAAGCGCAUACGGUGGAUGCCUUGGCAGUCAGAGGCGAUGAAAGACGUGGUAGCCUGCGAAAAGCUUCGGGGAGUCGGCAAACAGACUGUGAUCCGGAGAUAUCUGAAUGGGGGAACCCAGCCAUCAUAAGAUGGUUAUCUUGUACUGAAUACAUAGGUGCAAGAGGCGAACCAGGGGAACUGAAACAUCUAAGUACCCUGAGGAAAAGAAAUCAACCGAGAUUCCCUUAGUAGUGGCGAGCGAACGGGGACCAGCCCUUAAGUUGUAUUGAGAUUAGCGGAACGUUCUGGAAAGGACGGCCAUAGUGGGUGAUAGCCCUGUACGCGAAAAUCCCUUUGCAAUGAAAUCGAGUAGGACGGGGCACGAGAAACCUUGUCUGAAUAUGGGGGGACCAUCCUCCAAGGCUAAAUACUACUGACUGACCGAUAGUGAACCAGUACCGUGAGGGAAAGGCGAAAAGAACCGCGGAGAGCGGAGUGAAAUAGAUCCUGAAACCGUAUGCGUACAAGCAGUGGGAGCCCACUUUGUUGGGUGACUGCGUACCUUUUGUAUAAUGGGUCAGCGACUUAUUUUCAGUGGCGAGCUUAACCGAAUAGGGGAGGCGUAGCGAAAGCGAGUCUUAAUAGGGCGUCUAGUCGCUGGGAAUAGACCCGAAACCGGGCGAUCUAUCCAUGGGCAGGUUGAAGGUUGGGUAACACUAACUGGAGGACCGAACCGACUACCGUUGAAAAGUUAGCGGAUGACCUGUGGAUCGGAGUGAAAGGCUAAUCAAGCUCGGAGAUAGCUGGUUCUCCUCGAAAGCUAUUUAGGUAGCGCCUCAUGUAUCACUGUAGGGGGUAGAGCACUGUUUCGGCUAGGGGGUCAUCCCGACUUACCAAACCGAUGCAAACUCCGAAUACCUACAAGUGCCGAGCAUGGGAGACACACGGCGGGUGCUAACGUCCGUCGUGAAAAGGGAAACAACCCAGACCGUCAGCUAAGGUCCCAAAGUCAUGGUUAAGUGGGAAACGAUGUGGGAAGGCUUAGACAGCUAGGAGGUUGGCUUAGAAGCAGCCACCCUUUAAAGAAAGCGUAAUAGCUCACUAGUCGAGUCGGCCUGCGCGGAAGAUGUAACGGGGCUCAAACCAUGCACCGAAGCUACGGGUAUCAUCUUUUGAUGAUGCGGUAGAGGAGCGUUCUGUAAGCCUGUGAAGGUGAGUUGAGAAGCUUGCUGGAGGUAUCAGAAGUGCGAAUGCUGACAUGAGUAACGACAAUGGGUGUGAAAAACACCCACGCCGAAAGACCAAGGUUUCCUGCGCAACGUUAAUCGACGCAGGGUUAGUCGGUCCCUAAGGCGAGGCUGAAAAGCGUAGUCGAUGGAAAACAGGUUAAUAUUCCUGUACUUCUGGUUAUUGCGAUGGAGGGACGGAGAAGGCUAGGCCAGCCUGGCGUUGGUAGUCCAGGUUUAAGGUGGUAGGCUGAGAUCUUAGGUAAAUCCGGGAUCUUAAGGCCGAGAGCUGAUGACGAGUGUUCUUUUAGAACACGAAGUGGUUGAUGCCAUGCUUCCAAGAAAAGCUUCUAAGCUUCAGGUAACCAGGAACCGUACCCCAAACCGACACAGGUGGUUGGGUAGAGAAUACCAAGGCGCUUGAGAGAACUCGGGUGAAGGAACUAGGCAAAAUGGCACCGUAACUUCGGGAGAAGGUGCGCCGGUGGAGGUGAAGCAUUUACUGCGUAAGCCCCUGCCGGUCGAAGAUACCAGGCCGCUGCGACUGUUUAUUAAAAACACAGCACUCUGCAAACACGAAAGUGGACGUAUAGGGUGUGACGCCUGCCCGGUGCCGGAAGGUUAAUUGAUGGGGUUAGCGCAAGCGAAGCUCUUGAUCGAAGCCCCGGUAAACGGCGGCCGUAACUAUAACGGUCCUAAGGUAGCGAAAUUCCUUGUCGGGUAAGUUCCGACCUGCACGAAUGGCGUAACGAUGGCGGCGCUGUCUCCACCCGAGACUCAGUGAAAUUGAAAUCGCUGUGAAGAUGCAGUGUAUCCGCGGCUAGACGGAAAGACCCCGUGAACCUUUACUAUAGCUUUGCACUGGACUUUGAAUUUGCUUGUGUAGGAUAGGUGGGAGGCUUUGAAGCGUGGACGCCAGUCUGCGUGGAGCCAACCUUGAAAUACCACCCUGGCAACUUUGAGGUUCUAACUCAGGUCCGUUAUCCGGAUCGAGGACAGUGUAUGGUGGGUAGUUUGACUGGGGCGGUCUCCUCCUAAAGAGUAACGGAGGAGUACGAAGGUGCGCUCAGACCGGUCGGAAAUCGGUCGUAGAGUAUAAAGGCAAAAGCGCGCUUGACUGCGAGACAGACACGUCGAGCAGGUACGAAAGUAGGUCUUAGUGAUCCGGUGGUUCUGUAUGGAAGGGCCAUCGCUCAACGGAUAAAAGGUACUCCGGGGAUAACAGGCUGAUACCGCCCAAGAGUUCAUAUCGACGGCGGUGUUUGGCACCUCGAUGUCGGCUCAUCACAUCCUGGGGCUGAAGCCGGUCCCAAGGGUAUGGCUGUUCGCCAUUUAAAGUGGUACGCGAGCUGGGUUUAGAACGUCGUGAGACAGUUCGGUCCCUAUCUGCCGUGGACGUUUGAGAUUUGAGAGGGGCUGCUCCUAGUACGAGAGGACCGGAGUGGACGAACCUCUGGUGUUCCGGUUGUCACGCCAGUGGCAUUGCCGGGUAGCUAUGUUCGGAAAAGAUAACCGCUGAAAGCAUCUAAGCGGGAAACUUGCCUCAAGAUGAGAUCUCACUGGAACCUUGAGUUCCCUAAAGGGCCGUCGAAGACUACGACGUUGAUAGGUUGGGUGUGUAAGCGCUGUGAGGCGUUGAGCUAACCAAUACUAAUUGCCCGUGAGGCUUGACCAU
rnacentral:rRNA from 2 species